CUUCGGUGAUGACACGAUGACGAGUCAGAAAGGUCACUUGCUGCUCUUGGUCCUUGUCAGUGCCACGUUCUGUGGUCCUGGUCAUUGGUUCCUUUUGCAAAGGUGUCCUGUUCAUUGGUUGAUUUAGAGGCAUUUGUCUGAGAAGG
ensembl:snoRNA SNORD15 Small nucleolar RNA SNORD15